rnacentral:misc_RNA from 1 species
CUGAGCGGAGGGCCUCCGGGUCCGACCUCCAACCCUUCAUCCACACCAUGUUGCCUCGGGGGUGACCCGGCCUUCGGGCGUCGGGGCCCCCGGUGGACCUGUCAACCCUGCAUCUUUGCGUCUGAGUAACGAUGAAUCAAUCAA